GGUCGCAUAGUCUAGUGGUUAUGAUAUCUGCUUUACAGGAAGGUGGGGUAUUGAUCGGGUCGCAGGUUCGAGCCCUGCUGCGACCA
rnacentral:tRNA from 1 species